rnacentral:rRNA from 1 species
UACAGAGGGUGCUAGCGUUGUUCGGAAUCAUUGGGCGUAAAGGGCGUGUAGGCGGUUUGUUAAGUCAUGUGUGAAAUCCCUCGGCUCAACCGGGGAACGACGCAUGAAACUGGCAAGCUAGAGUACCAAAGAGGGGGGUGGAAUUCCCGGUGUAGCGGUGAAAUGCAUAGAUAUCGGGAGGAACACCUGUGGCGAAGGCGGCCCCCUGGUUGGAUACUGACGCUGAUACGCAAAGCGUGGGGAGCAACAAGG